UUUGUAUACAGAAAUAAAAUAUUCUAUAAACUAAAAAGUGUCUCAGCUUUCUCAAAACAUAAGUGGUCGCAGUUCUACCCUAGUCUCUACGCAUCAGACCCAUCGUGUACUAUGCCCUAGCUUUGCCGAUCGUUGCCCAAGAGAGCGCCGUGAAGGCCUUCAAGCCCAACAACUACAAUUCCCUGCUAAUCUUCAAACUUCCGUUGUUUCUCAAAACACAGAUGCAUUUUUCACUUAGCUUACUGUUAUUCCCUUUUUUCAAUUUGGUCUUGUUUUAUAAGUAUUAUAGCAUACCCAUUUGGAGUUUGAUGUAUUAGAUGGGUAAGCUAAGAAUCCCGGAGUUUGUCGUUGGUGAUAAGCCAUAUCUUAGUAGAGAUUAAAAAAAUACGCUUUCAUUGUAAACUUUCAGAAUUACGGUUUUUGUAUUCGGUGUUCGGGAGUAAAAUUUUGAUAAUUCGGUAAUCGAUACGGUAUUCAGAGUAAAAUUUUAGAUCUACGGUAUUUGGGUUCGGAUUCGGUACGAGAUAUUAAAGUAGCUAUAACAAUAGGACUGAAGUGAUUUUGCAGACAAUUUUUUAGAUUUAUGAUUCUUACUUUGAUAUAAGGAUCAAUGCUCGAUCUACUGUAAUCUUACUCAGAUUACAAGUAUGAAUAGUGAAAAUCCUUCAGAUUCUUGCUGUUCAAGUUCUUGUUGAUUGAACUAAAACUAUACGAUCCAGCUUAAGUGAUUUUGCAAGCAAUGGUGUUGGGUAGCUCUCAUUAUUUCCUUUACAGCUGUGGCUAACAUGAUAUAGGAUAUGAGAUGCAUUUUGUAACUUGAUUCACAAUUCACAUGUGGUUACUAGUUCUCUUUUGAAUACAUAGCUAAUUUAGCAUAUUACUAUUUUUAUUUUUUGCUUAUAUUACUGUUUUGCUUUUUUGCUUUAGUGUGGAAGAUAUUAUGGAACUCUAGUCACAUUGAUAAGCUGUUAGUUUACUUAUAUUCUAGCUCAAGGAAUCCUUGAGCCGAGGGUCUCUCGGAAAUAGCCUCCCUACCUCUCAAUGUAGGGGUAAGGUCCGUGUAGAAUCUACCCUUUCCAGAUCCUACUUGUGGGAUUACAUUGGGUAUGUGUUGUUGUUGUUGUUGGUUUUUACCGAAUAUUGAAUUAUUUAUUCUUUUUGAUCAGUUAAAUGUGGAUCUCCAGACAUAUGUAUCAUUUUUCUUUUGAAAACCAUUUUCUGAGAAACGGGUUUCCUGUGAUAUCCUCAUUACUGAAUUGGGGUGUCUUGAAGUUAUAAUUCUUGGAGAUCGAAAGCAUAUUCUUAUGUACAAAUUCUUUGUAUUCUAGCUUUUAACAUGUUGGAUAUUUUAUUUCUCAACUUUUGAGUCUUUUUUGUGAUUUACCAAUAGGUGAUGUGGUUAUGUAAGUCUAUACUUUGUUUCGUCCUUUCCUGUUUGUUGUAUCCUUUUCUAGAUAAAAUACAAUCUGUUUUUAGGCAUCUUCCCCCUAAAGUGAUUUGCUUCUACUGGUUGUCUCUCUAUGAAGCUUGUCUUACUCAAGACAACGAAUGAAGAGAAAAAUCCAGAUUGUAAAUAGAUACUUCAUGUGCGAAAGAGACUCUGAAAGUGUUAGACAUCUUCUAUUACACUGCCCAGUGGCUGCUAACAUUUGGAACAUGUUUUUGUGUAUUUUUGGACUAGUCUGGGUUAUGCCUAGCAGCAUUAAAGAAGCCUAUGAAAACUGGUGCUCAUGGAAAGUAGGUAAAUUCAUCAAAAAGUACUGGUUAAUGGUACCUGCUACAAUUUUUUGGUGCAUUUGAAAUGAAAGGAACCGUAGGUGUUUUGAUGGGAUUUCUACUUCUAAAAUGCUCUUAAAGCUAAAUACUUAAUGAAUUUAUAAUUUUAUUUGGCUGAGCAGUGCAGGCUCUUGUAGCUAGUUGUGAUCAGUUUUUGAUGGGGUUUGCUCCUUAGUUGUAGAUGUAGAUUAAGCUAACUUUUGUAUUUGAGAAAACUCCUGACGUUCCCCUUUGUAAUUGUUGCAUCUUCAAUUAUGCCUUUUAAUGAAACUCUUCUUGCUUAAUCAACAAACAAGAAAAGAAAUAUUGUUUUGGAAUAUUUGUUGCUUUUUCUUGGGACCAAUAUCUUUACUAUUAUUAGUUGCUCUCUUAAAUGGUAAAUCCUUCGCAAAAGAAAUGAAAAAGAACUGAUGAGGUGAAGUAUAUCUUUAUGAAUUAGUAUAUUCAUUGUUACACAUUCUGAUGGCAUGAUUUCUUUUAUUACUACAUUGUCACAUUUUCUCUUAUUGCUUUUUACUUUUGGCGCUUUAUAGGUUCAAUAUGGAACCAUCAAAGACUGAAAAUGAGGUGGGAUCGACUAUGAAGACUACUACCAGAUAUGCAUUCGUCGUGCCAGGUGCUAUAGGUGCUAUAGGAAAGGGACGAGGACGAGGAGAGCUUAGAUCAUUUGGUUGAGAAAGAGAACAUGCCAGAUAAAUUUGAGGGUGUUGAAUUGAAUGAUCAUCCUGAUCGUAUCUUGGGAAGGAUGAAAGAGUUAUGGAAUAAAUGGAGAGGAUACUUGCAUUUUUUCUCCUAGCCAGCUUUGUUGAUGUUGGAUAUAGAUUUGAAGAUUAAAGUUACAAAUCAAGAUGCAAGUUUAGAAGAUGCACAAGGUGAGCAGGUUGGCGGACUUGAUCCUUAGGAGCUCCACCAGCGGUAUAUUGAGAGUGCUCCAGUUCUUUCGGGUCUCCAGCUAUUCGGUGAGCAGGUUGACGGACUUGAUCCUUAGGAGCUCCACCAGCGGUAUAUUGAGAGUGCUCCAGUUCUUUCGGGGCUCCAGCUAUUCGGUACUACUUUUGUGUACAUGUCCGGACUCGGCAGUAUCCGGUCCUUUUCGAGAUGCUAUGUAUUAUACUUAGAGGCUCGUAGACAGAUAUGUACAGUCAGGUGUUUUGUGCUUUUGUGGUUCUCAUCACUGUAUAAGGUGCUAGUAAAGUUUAAUGGCCUGUAUUUAUAAUUAUGCUGCUAAUGCUAAUGUUAAGUAACAAAAAAGAAAAAAAAUAUAUAUAUAUGGUAUAGUUCAUGUGGCCACCUAGUAACAAGAAUAUGACACGAGAUAAGGGGUGCUCGGUACAAGUAUCGGGUACUCGUCACGGCCCCUAGUCGGGUCAUGACACAAAAAUUCUUAAUUAGCCAUUCCCGACUUAACAAAACAUCAUCCACUCAAACUCUUCAUCAUUCUACUCAUCAUACAAGUACGGAGAAAUUUUCGUGGUGUAACAGCACGAUCUAAGACAGAAAGAAGGUCAACAACUCCUAGAUGCCUUGCAGCCUCCUGUUUAUAAAUGUGGCCGGCUUCACACCUAUAAACAGGACUCUACUGGACACGACUUUGCAGACAACCCCUAGGACAACCUGCUCUGAUACCACUUUGUCACACCCUAAUCUCCCUGGGGUGUGAUGGGCACCCGACCCUUACUUAGGGCCGAGCGAACCCUCUGACCCUUAGUACACACAUAAUCUUUUUGGAUCUUUAAAUCAAAUAAGGAUGAAAUACAUAGUACAGCUUUCAGAAACAUUCUUUUUAUCAUUCUCAAAUCAACAAAAUUUGUAAUCAUAUGGAAUCUUUAACAUAAUAUAUAAAGAAACAUCGGCUGGGGAAGCCGCUUACAAGACUGACAUUCUAUACCCACGACUCUGUCUGCAAAGUCUCUAACAUUAAUCAGAAAUCAUAACAUAUGUACUCUGACUUGGCAACACUCCGAAAGGAAGUGGAUCUCGCCAAUCCAGCUGAAGCAUCUUCUAGCAAUGUCUUUUACUCAUCUGGGUGUACCCGCGUGGCAUGAAACGCAGCCCCCGAAGAAAGGGGGUCAGUAUGGAAUAUGUACUGAGUAUGUAAGGCAUAGAAAACAGAAAACAGAACCAAAAUCGAAGAAAGCAAUACAAAAAUAAGUACAUUAUUCAGAAUACCAAAAUGCUUAUUUUUCCGAACGCAAAUCAUGCAUACCGAUGUCAUAUGUCAGAAGAAGUACAGAAAAUAAGUAAACUAUCCGGUGUGCCAAAAUGCUUACUUUCCAAACACAGAACAUGCGUGCCGACAAUAUAUGUCAUCAUAUACAUAUAACAGAUCCCGGCCCUCUAGUGAGGGACGCGGUGAAUGAAGUCAUCAUGUAUGCCGACAUCAUAUAUCAUAUAUGCAUAUACCAGAUCCCGGCCCUCUAGGGAGAGACGCGGUUAAUUGGAUCAUCACAUGCCAUCCCCAUAUCAUCAUAUCAUCAUAUGCAGAUAUACAUAUAACAGAUCCCGGCUCUCCAAUGAGGGACGCGGUGAACAAUGCAGAGGAGGCGCACGAUACCAGAACCUGGCCCGGGGCGCAGUGAAGGACAUACUGAGGCUUGCACGAGCAGAGUAGAGUGAAACCAUAUGCACAUAAAUCAAGACUCGAUAGAUACGUACACUUACCGACAUUUGAAGGAUCAUAAACAUGUUUCAAGUCAAUCCGGUUUAGUAUGAGAAAGUUAUGGCCAUUUUAGUACAGAAACCAUUACGAACGUUUCAAAGCAAAUCCGAGAUCGUUUACAAAAGUUAGGGACAUUAAAAGGAAAUGUAAGAGAAAAGAAUCCACAAACUCUUGCCAUACUGGUGGAGGAACAUUGACUCCUCUAGAAGACAUCUAAACCGUAUACCAAUAAACCACAACAUACCGUAAUCUGUAGGAGGCCAACUCUACUAACUCCACAUCCGAAGCAUGCAUUAUCUGCAAGGUUCUCAAUAAUCCAUCUAUAAAUAUCCACGGGUCCUCAUCAGGUUUUGACCCAAAUAAUUCGGGAGGGUUCAAGCUAACAAAAUCACGAGCUUUUGCACUGACCGCUCUAUCACUAUGACCCACACCCUGCCGCUGAGGCUGACCGGUGACUAACUGAGUCAGCAAUUUGAUAGCCUCUCUCUUCUCCUGACCAAAGGCAUCUAGUGGAGGAACUUGGGGUAUUGUAGCUGGAGCUGAGGCCCCCUUCAUGCUCCUCUGAAAUGGGUGGAGUAUGAGAGGUUCGGGAUGGAGCCUUAUUCUAAGACUCACCCUCCUCUAUAUCUACCGGUGACCCCCGUUUGGUCCUCCUUCCGACCACCAUCUUGCCCUUCUGAGCUGCUGUAGCUUUCCUCUUCAAAGGCAUUACUGAAAUCAUAGCACACGAUUAGGAAAAAGGGAGUCCUGUUAACAUAGCUCUAUCGCACGAUCUAAGAUGAGAAAGAAAGGUCAAUAAUUCCUAAAUGCCACGUAGCCUCCUGUUUAUAAGUGUGGUGCGCUUCACACUCAUAAAUAAGAAUCUACUAGAUACGGCUCGUAGACACACCCUAGGACGAGCUGCUCUAUUACAACCUUUGUCACGACCCAACCAGAGGGCCAUGACGGGCACCCGAAACUAAACUACCGAGCACCUUUGAACAUACAUCUCAUAAUCAUCUCUAGGUGGACCACAAAGAUAGCUCAUGGAUGUCAAGAUCUAUAAGGGCAUAUGUCACAAGAUAACAAUACAUUUCUAUAUGAUCAUCAAUAAUUAUGCCCAUCAUCAUAAGCCGACAAGGCUGCCAAAAUAUUAGAAAACAAUAUGAACUAAUAAGGUUAGAUCUAGCUACAUACAUCUGUCUACGAGCCUCUAUAUAGAAUAUAGAAAUCCAUAAAGACGGGGCAGGACUCUGCCAUGCCCAAGUAUAUAUACAAAAGAGUAAUACCAAUAGAUAGUGGCUCCGAAGCAAAUGGAGCGCUCCUGAGACUCUAUUGAUGAAGCUCCUAAAGAUCAGAUCCGUCUCCCCGCUUCCCUGCAGGCAUGAACGUAGCGUCCACAAAAGAAGACGUUAGUACGAACAAUGUACUGAGUAUGUAAGACAUGAAUAGUAACAUGAUAAAAGUAUGAAGUAUUGCGUAAGAUAAGCAAACUGUUCAUACCUCAUGAUACCUUUUAAGACAUUCGUGAUGCUUACUUAACUUUAUUUUUUCUAGGAGAGCGUUUCAUAUAUCCACAUGCAUAUCUACACAAUACCGUACCUAGCCAUAUAGACUCGGUAUUAUCCGUACCCGACCCUAGUAAGGUUUGGUAAUAUUCAUACCCAACUGCAGUGGUAUACGCGCAAUAGCUAUCAUACCCGGCCAUAUAAGCUUGGUAGUAUCCGUACCCGGCUAUAGUAAGGCUCGGUAUCAUAAAAUAGGUAUAUACAUAUAUAAUAUAAAUAGCAUGCAUGAGAGCCUAAAUAAGAGCUACUACUUCAUCAGAGUAACGUAAGGUCGGUAACCUCCGAUGUGUCAUUAUGGAAUCAUCGUUAUGACUAUAUCUCACCUCGAAGAAACAAGCAACAUAAGGUGAGAUCAACAACAAUGAAUAAAAUCAAGAAAAUCAUGAAAUAAGCUCAAUAAUCUCAUAAUAGCAUCAAAUCCAUAAGCUUUGGAAUCUCUAGAAUGGGAUCAUCAUCAUCAUAAAAAACAUCUAUCUUUGGCAUCAUAAGAACUUUGAGAAUCAUGACCUUCUAGAUUUUUGGGAAUAAGGACGUUAUGGAAAGCAUGUGUCGAUUCAUAAGAAAAGAAUCAUGCCUUUAGAAAGGAAGGGGACAGCCUUAACAUACCUGGAAGCUUACUUCUCAAUUUUUCAGCCUACUUCCGGUUUCAUAAUACACACAUAAAACCAUUCAUGUUAUUGUUAGGCUGAUCGUCAUAUGCUUGUCUUAGGCCUUCAAGUUAAAUUCUUUUAGAAUCUGCCAAAAUUCGGGCAGCAUCUCCCCGGUUUAUAUCCCUAACCCGAAAUCACAAUACCAAACAACCAACAACAAUAACAACAACACUCACAUCAACAAUAUCAUCAUCAAUACAAAAAUACUCCAUAAAAUAUCCCACAUGAUGUUUAUUCGAUUUCUCAACUAACUAAUUCAUUAUACGACCAUUUAAUAGCUUUAUCUUCGUAAAUACACCGAAAUCACUAUCAACAAGGAUAGAUUUUUACCUUGUUCCCACUAUAGCUACAAUAUCUUCAAUAUCCGCCUUGUAUCCAAGCCAAGAUUCACUGCAAUAUGAUACUAUAAUCACAACUAUACGCUAUUCGAAACUAAUUCAUGAGAUUACACUUGAUUUGGGCUAAAAUUUAUGGGUGGAAGUUGGGAGAAAGUUCUAGAGGUUUUAGGGUAUUUUUGAGGGGUGGUUUGGAUGAAAAUAAAGGGUAAACCCCCUUUUAUAUUGUUCUAGAGUCGGUUUGCACCGACUUAGAAUUUUCGCACACUGUAGCUGGGCGUUCGCGCACUGUAGCUGGGCGAGCAUCUGUUCCGCCGGCCUAACUUGUAACGACCAUAACUCUCUACUCUGACGUCAUAUCGAUGAGAGGUUUGUUGCGUUUGAAACUAGACUCAAUGAACUUCAAUUUAGGCUUUUAUUCCACCUCAAAACUCCUGAUACACUAGGAGAUAUACCUCUCUAAAGUUAACCCAAAAUGUUUGUCCGAAAUUCUACCAAAUUGUCCCAAAUUUUUGACAAACUUAUUUUCUUCAUUUUGCUUCAUCCCAGAACCUUUAGACUCUUACUUAACAGUUGUUAAGAGUUUUCCUUAACCUUAUAAGGGUUCCUUGACCUCUCCGAGCAUACGUUAGUUUACUCACAAUACAAACGACACGAAAAGUUUUUAGGUGUAACAACUCCGGCUACAACUAAAGGAUUGUGGUGCCUAUGAGAGGAAUUGUGGUAUCAAUAAGUUGCGUUCAGAGGUAUGGUUAUAAUCAAAAUCAUGGAAUUCGAGCGAAGUCAGUUCAAAUAUAUGAGGAUCAACUGUGAAAGAAAUUUCGAGUUUGGUAAAAUGGAAAUUGGGUCUUUGAGCUAAGUUACAGGAAGUUUUGACUGAUAAAGUGAAAAAGAGGCGCUAUCAGUGUUAUUCUCGCUCGUGGAGGAUUUCAUGAGGUUUAUGAUAGAGAUUUUUCGACUACUUGACAACAUUGGUGCUUUUCUUUACUGUUCAAGGACGAACGUGUAUUUAAGUGAUAGUGAUAUAGCGACCCGCUUGGUCGUUUUGAGCUUUUAGACUUUUUCCCCUAAAUUACCCUUCCCAUAGUUUCAUCUUGGUAUUAAUGACUUGCAGGGAUGGGUGGUACAAUCAUCGAAAUAAUCGAGUGAGUUUUAGAUCAGUUUUAACGAAUUUGAAGUUCUUAAGUUAAGAAAAUAAAGAAGUUUGACCAAAGUCAACAUCGGGAGUAAAUGCGUCAUUUUUAAAAUUUCGUCACUUCCAUUGGAUCCGAAAUGUGAUAUAUUGACUUAGUUGGACUGUUGGUUCGGGUCCCAAGGCAUUCAGUGUGAUUUGGGUCGUUGGUUGAAAAUCUGGUAUUAUGAAGAAUUGGAGUUGACCUUGGUCAAACAUCGGGUCAAGACGACCUCUUUUUGGUGUGUUGAGUGUACAAUCAUGUUCGUGGCGUGUUUUGUGAUUGAAAUGCAUAUAUGAUUUGUGUCCCGGAGAUUGCGGAUGAGUUUCAGGUAAUGUAUGGGAGAAGAUUUGAAGAUGGCCAUUUGGAGUAGAAUUUAUGGGAGCUUUAGUGAAGAUCACAUUUUCAUAUGCAUUUAGGUUUUGUAUAGUUUUGGGACUUGUAAAUGAUCCAUAUGUUAACUUAUGUAUGAAAUUUUGGAGGUUUGACGGACCAUAA